rnacentral:lncRNA from 1 species
ACUUAUCUCCCUUGCUUGUAACGGUGUUACGCGUAACAUCAACAGCAAUGUCUAUGGAAGCAUUGAAGAAAGCUUUAUUUUAUUUCGAAGAACCUCCGUCUUCAUAAAAGAUUCAAGCAGGGCAACGAAAGAACUAUUUGGAUGAUAACCUUCAGGCUUUGCAGAUGUUUGCCUCGAAAAGGAAAGCCGCUACAUCAGGACACAUAAAUGACAUAAUGAAGAGCACAUCUAAUUCCAAGAAAAAGUUCAUUUUUGGUAAGAAACACAAUGCAAAGAAGAAGAAGAAGAAGGUCACGCAAAAAUCUGUUUUUGACGAGGGUGAAUUUGAAAAUUUUUUCAAAGAGUAUCAUGGUCUAAAGAAAUAAAAAUAUAUUUUUA